rnacentral:snRNA from 1 species
CGUUCAUAGCGACGUUGCU